rnacentral:rRNA from 1 species
CGGAUUGUAGUCUGCAACCCGACUACAUGAAGCUGGAAUCGCUAGUAAUCGCGGAUCAGAAUGCCGCGGUGAAUACGUUCCCGGGUCUUGUACACACCGCCCGUCACACCAUGGGAGUCGGAAAUGCCCGAAGUCUGUGACCCAACCAUUAAGGAGGGAGCAGCCGAAGGCAGGUCGGAUGACUGGGGUGAAGUCGUAACAAGGUAAC